GACGAACGCUGGCGGCGUGCUUAACACAUGCAAGUCGAACGGAAAGGCCCUGCUUGCAGGGUACUCGAGUGGCGAACGGGUGAGUAACACGUGGGUGAUCUGCCCUGCACUUCGGGAUAAGCCUGGGAAACUGGGUCUAAUACCGGAUAGGAGCCAUUUUUAGUGUGAUGGUUGGAAAGUUUUUUCGGUGUAGGAUGAGCUCGCGGCCUAUCAGCUUGUUGGUGGGGUAAUGGCCUACCAAGGCGGCGACGGGUAGCCGGCCUGAGAGGGUGGACGGCCACAUUGGGACUGAGAUACGGCCCAGACUCCUACGGGAGGCAGCAGUGGGGAAUAUUGCACAAUGGGCGCAAGCCUGAUGCAGCGACGCCGCGUGGGGGAUGACGGCCUUCGGGUUGUAACUCCUUUCGCUAGGGACGAAGCUUUUUGUGACGGUACCUAGAGAAGAAGCACCGGCUAACUACGUG
rnacentral:rRNA from 1 species